rnacentral:rRNA from 1 species
CUUAGUAACGGCGAGUGAAGCGGUAAAAGCUCAAAUUUGAAAUCUGGUACUUUCAGUGCCCGAGUUGUAAUUUGUAGAAUUUGUCUUUGAUUAGGUCCUUGUCUAUGUUCCUUGGAACAGGACGUCAUAGAGGGUGAGAAUCCCGUUUGGCGAGGAUACCUUUUCUCUGUAAGACUUUUUCGAAGAGUCGAGUUGUUUGGGAAUGCAGCUCAAAGUGGGUGGUAAAUUCCAUCUAAAGCUAAAUAUUGGCGAGAGACCGAUAGCGAACAAGUACAGUGAUGGAAAGAUGAAAAGAACUUUGAAAAGAGAGUGAAAAAGUACGUGAAAUUGUUGAAAGGGAAGGGCAUUUGAUCAGACAUGGUGUUUUUUGCAUGCACUCGCCUCUCGUGGGCUUGGGCCUCUCAAAAAUUUCACUGGGCCAACAUCAAUUCUGGCAGCAGGAUAAAUCAUUAAGAAUGUAGCUACUUCGGUAGUGUUAUAGCUUUUUGGAAUACUGUUAGCCGGGAUUGAGGACUGCGCUUCGGCAAGGAUGUUGGCAUAAUGGUUAAAUGCCGCCCGUCUUGAACCACGGACCA